rnacentral:rRNA from 1 species
AGGGUUCGAUUAUGGCUCAGGAUGAACGCUAGCGGCAGGCUUAACACAUGCAAGUAGAACGGUAACAGUCCUUCGGGAGCUGACGACCGGCGAACGGGUGCGUAACGCGUAUGCAACCUACCUAUAACAGAGGGAUAGCCCAUAGAAAUGUGGAAUAAUACCUCAUAACAUAUUUGAAUGGCAUCAUUUAAAUAUUAAAGCUCCGGCGGUUAUAGAUGGGCAUGCGUGUCAUUAGUUAGUUGGUGAGGUAACGGCUCACCAAGACUCCGAUGACUAGGGGUUCUGAGAGGAUGAUCCCCCACACUGGUACUGAGACACGGACCAGACUCCUACGGGAGGCAGCAGUGAGGAAUAUUGGUCAAUGGACGCAAGUCUGAACCAGCCAUGCCGCGUGCAGGAAGACUGCCCUACGGGUUGUAAACUGCUUUUAUAUAGGAAGAAUGUUACCCACGUGUGGGUAUUUGACGGUACUAUAUGAAUAAGGAUCGGCUAACUCCGUGCCAGCAGCCGCGGUAAUACGGAGGAUCCAAGCGUUAUCCGGACUUAUUGGGUUUAAAGGGUCCGUAGGCGGGAAAUUAAGUCAGUGGUGAAAUCCUACAGCUCAACUGUGGAACUGCCAUUGAAACUGGUUUUCUUGAAUGUAGAUGAAGUGGGCGGAAUGUGUCAUGUAGCGGUGAAAUGCUUAGAGAUGACACAGAACACCGAUUGCGAAGGCAGCUCACUAACCUAUUAUUGACGCUGAGGGACGAAAGCGUGGGUAGCGAACAGGAUUAGAUACCCUGGUAGUCCACGCCGUAAACGAUGAUUACUCGACAUUGGCGAUAAACUGUCAGUGUCCAAGCGAAAGUGUUAAGUAAUCCACCUGGGGAGUACGAUCGCAAGGUUGAAACUCAAAGGAAUUGACGGGGGCCCGCACAAGCGGUGGAGCAUGUGGUUUAAUUCGAUGAUACGCGAGGAACCUUACCAGGACUUAAAUGUUUUCUGACAGGCUGGGAAACCAGUUUUUCUUCGGACAGAUGACAAGGUGCUGCAUGGCCGUCGUCAGCUCGUGCUGUGAGGUGUCGGGUUAAGUCCCAUAACGAGCGCAACCCCUAUUUCUAGUUGCCAGCGAGUAAUGUCGGGGACUCUAGAGAAACUGCCCGUGCAAACGGUGAGGAAGGUGGGGACGACGUCAGGUCAUCACGGCCCUUACGUCCAGGGCUACACACGUGCUACAAUGGUAGAGACAGAGGGCAGCCACCCGGUGACGGGGAGCUAAUCCUUAAACUCUAUCUCAGUUCGGAUUGAAGUCUGCAACUCGACUUCAUGAAGCUGGAAUCGCUAGUAAUCGCAUAUCAGCCACGAUGCGGUGAAUACGUUCCCGGGCCUUGUACACACCGCCCGUCAAGCCAUGGAAGCUGAGGGUACCUGAAGUCGGUAACCGCAAGGAGCCGCCUAGGGUAAAAUCGGUAACUAGGGCUAAGUCGUAACAAGGUAGCC